GCAACCACUAUGAGGGAGUUUUAUGACCCAAAUCUGUUCCUGAGGAGAAAUACCACAGUGCUUUCUUUGAAGGGGGUACCUAUGGAUCUGUACAUAGGAGUGGCAGAAACUGAACGUGUUUUACAGUCCAAACAAAAUUCAUGAAAAAGAAGGUAAUGUCCAUAGAAGGCCUUUGAGCUAUCCAGCACCAUACCUGAUUCCCAGAUGAUACCCAGUCACCCCCAAAGACUGUGUAGCUCUGAAUCAGGUGAAAAGGCUCAAAACAUACCACACAGUGAAACUCUAUCACUAGAAAUAAAUCUGUAUUUACUGCAGCGGGCACUUGAACUGACUCUCCUUAUUUCCCAGGGGAUCAUCUAGACCACUGGGUUACUGGAUGUAGUGGUGGUCAAUGACUAAUCACAUUCCCACAAGUGCACCCCUGUCCAUUUUUUGUGCAAGGUCUGAUGCAACACAUGCUAUUGCAGUACAGACUGGAUCACCCAGGGCAGCUCCUGGUUUGAGACCUCCACCAAAACUCAGGCAGGAGCUCCAGAGGGUCCUGAAGAUCCAUGAAUGAGAAACUGGGAAUGGCUGAGCAAGGCCAAAGUACUCACUUGGACAUGCAAAGUGUCAGCUCUCUAGAUAGCGUUAGUCUCUGUGGACUGCACAGAGAAACAGUCAAAGGAUGUAGUGUUGGACUUUUCAAGGUUAAGCAACCCAACUGUAUGGUCACGCGUACAAAGUAAACAUCUAAGUAUGUAGUGAUGCAUUCCUGUAGCCUGUGAGCACCACAAGGAGACUCAAACAAAUGGAAACCCAUUAACAUUUUUUCUUCAUAGCUUAUAAAGUCAUUAAAGGUGUCUAGUAAAGUAAGUACUAUAGUGAGUAAAAUGUAUUAAAACCCAGUACAAAAAGUCCAUUGUCUAUUGCAUAACUAGGCUAACUGUUCUUAGCCUUUACAACUGUGCAUUGUGAAGAAAAGAAAAAAUCUAAAAAAGGUAUUUUCUUUUUAUUUCAUUUCUAGACUGGAUGCUAGUUUCAAAUUCAUGGGCCCAUACAAUGGAAAUGUCUGUAUCUAUGAAAUGAAAAUUGUCUUCUGAAAAAGACCUGUAGUAAGUCAGUGCACUACAGAACUCAGACGUGUAAACAAACAAUGCCACAACAGAAGCCCAAAGCACAACAUAUGCUACCUCACACCUGUUAGGAUAAUACCUUCUCCCACAGGCUAAAAAAGGAGCUGUCGUAGCUCAUGCUCUGCUCAACUCAGCUGCAGCCUGGUAUGCUGGCUUUGCCCACAAGUUGUCUCGAUGUAAGGGCAAGCCAACAAAGAGGGGAUUUAGAAUGUAUUUUACGGGACAGACAUACAGCAAAGGCAGUCUGGUACGGCUACUUCUUGGAGACGUACAAGAUGGGUCUGCUUUAGGUUCAAAGCAAAGCUUAGCAAUUGCCUCCCUGGCAAGAAAGGAACAAAUCAAGACCAUUUACUGAUUUCUGUCAUUGUUUUUAAAAUCUACAUAUAUAUAGAAAUGCAUGUAAAAGGUGCAUUAAUAUGGAUCUGUUCUGUUCCUCAAGUCUGCACCCAUGCAGGACUGGGCAAAAGGAGUGUGCGUGACACUCCACAAGCCCUUCUGGUUCUCCAAAGCAGGAGGAUGUGUUGAUCUUCUAUCCCUCAUCUCACACUUUCCUUUCUCUCAUUAAUACAGAAAGAAAGGCAAACUGAUUUUGGUUUACAGAAACGAAGAGGUUUUACAUGUGCAUGAGUAGUGGCUUGUGAUUUAGAAAGCAAGUGACCACGACAGAGUCCUCACAAUGCCUCUGAGGAGGUGGCAGGAGAAUCCUAUGACAGUGACAAACAACAUUUCCAAAUUAGCCAACCAGACCAAAAAGCUUCUGCUUCUCUGAAAGGCUUUGAGCAAGCAAGCUAAAAGCUUAGUUUCAAUAAUGAAAUGCCUUCAGCAGAAUAAACAAUAUAUUUCAAGUUAAAUGCUUACUUAAUGUUUUGUUGCAUAGAAGCCUAGAUCCAAAUUUAUAUCAAAAACCAAACAGCCCUCUAAAAUGCCCAAUUAUAUGAUGGAAAUUAUGGCUUUUAUGAACAGAAUUAAGACUGAAUAAUGAAGUACCUUUGGUAGAAAAGGUAUGUUGACACUUUCUUUACUUUGCAGUAUCAGUUUUUUCUAUUUGUGGCUUUUUUUACCUAGCAAAAGAGAACACAAAUCUUGAAAAAGGAGCACAUUGCUAAACCAAGUAUGCCAGCAGGACAGAAUGUGUAAACCAUGGGCAGCACACAGGCGUAGGAACUGCAGCCGUGCCUACAAGGUAUCUCUGCCCCUUCUCUUGUAGGGACACCUGGGCUUCCACGGGCCAGCCUCCUGAACCACCACGGCUGACAGCAAAGCACUGCAAGGGACUCCUAAUUGGACUCAUCAGAAAACUCAGCAUCUUCUAUGACCUUUGGUGGUCUUCUCCCUACAGACACCUCCACAAUCCCACCUACUACUGUGAGACUGGGAAAAUGAGAUUAAUUCUUGAUACGCAGGUGGUGUAACCCUAAGUCUAAGAACUUAACUCACUCUUUAUGCUCUCUUUCUUGUUCUGCAUGUCUGUAUAAAGAAUUUAAAUGCAUACUGUUCUCAGUUUUACUUAGGCUUCCUGUAUUGGUAAAAUACUGACAGUAGUAAGUCAAACACUGCAAUAAAAUUACUAUGAUUUAUAAUCCUAGUUCACCUACAAUAUUUUAGUGGUAAAAAUACUAAUUAAUAAAUUAAUUACAAUUAAAAUAGACUAGAAUUAUUAAAAUUAAGUAUUAAAGCUAUUAAUAACUAUUAAAACUUUAAAAUAAUAAAACUAAAAUAAUAUUAACUAUAUAAUAAAAUUAAUUACCAGGUUCCCAUUGGUAAGGUAUAUUCCACACAUCUUGCAGACAGUGGAAUUAACAAUAAAAAUAGGGUGUCUUGUUAAAUAAAGCAAAUGUAUAAAACCAAAUGAAGAGCAAACAAAACAAGAUUUUAUGCACGGGAGUCAUCUUGCCCCAGUACAGCACUGUAUUUCUUCAAACGCUAUGUUCUACACUCAUUUUCUUUUUGUAGAUUUGUAGCCCUUACUCAUACUUUGAUUUCAGUAUUUGGCUUUCCAGUUUCAUUUCAGAUCCUUACUGCAUUUGGAGGGGUUUUACUACUCCCUUUGGUAACCGCAGGAUCAAGCUCUGGCUUUGGCUAGCAGGCAGUUACCCUGAAGAAGGUGAGCGCAUUCAGUUUUAAUUACUUCUCUCCAAAUGGUCUUACUGUCAAUGGCCUAUUGAUACAAAGAAUCCUUAAAAAGCGCUACCAGACACCUACUGACCAGGUGAAGCAGGCACUUUUCUUAAAUUUCUUCUUUCAAGAGAGGCAGAGUCUCUACAGAGGUGACAUUCUGACAUCAGAUCAAAUGCCUUGAAUAAAGAUUGAUUUUCUUC